rnacentral:rRNA from 1 species
GGCCUGUUGUUUAUGAUUUUAGGUUAACCUGCCCAAUGAGAAUUUUAAUGGCCGCGGUAUAUUGACCGUGCGAAGGUAGCAUAGUCAUUAGUUUUUUAAUUGAAAGCUUGUAUGAAAGGUUUGAUGAGAAAAAGGCUGUCUCUUUAAAAAUUUAUUAGAAUUUUAUUUUUGAGUUAAAAAGCUUAAAUGUAUAUUGAAGACGAGAAGACCCUAUAGAGUUUAAUAUUUUAAAAUGGUUUAAAAAUUUAGGAGUGUAGUAUUUUUUAAUUUAGUAAAGUAUUUUGUUGGGGUGAUGAAAAAAUUAGAUGAACUUUUUUUUGAAAAUAUCAUUGAUAUGUGAAAAAGUGAUCCUGAAGUUUAGAUUAUAAGAAUAAACUACCUUAGGGAUAACAGCGUUAUUUUUUUUAGAGUUCUUAUCGAAAAAAAAGAUUGCGACCUCGAUGUUGGAUUAAAAUUUAUUGUUGGUGAAGAAGCUAAUAGGUUAGGUCUGUUCGACCUUUAAAAUUUUACAUGAUCUGAGUUUAAACCGGUGUGAG